GACAGAGGUGCCGAGCGUUAGGCGGAAUCACUGGGCUUAAAGCGUGUGUAGGCGGAUGCCUAAGUACCUUGUGAAAUCCCACGGCUUAACCGUGGAACUGCUUGGUAUACUGGGUGUCUUGAGCCACUUAGGGGCGACCGGAACAAACGGUGGAGCGGUGAAAUGCGUAGAUAUCUGGAGGAACACCGGUGGCGAAGGCGGCAUCCUGGACCGAUACUGACGCUGAGGAGCGAAAGCCAGGGGAGCAAACGGG
rnacentral:rRNA from 1 species